CUCGUUCAUUCCUGGAAGUUCAAUUCAGAACAAAGUUCGCCAAUGCUCAGCUCCUUAUCCCUGCUGUACAGUUCUCGACUCUCUUCUUCCUCAGACGCGCACACACACACUCACUUCCUCUCUCUAAUGGUGUAUCUUACAGAAUCUGAGCACCUCCUUCGUUCAUUGCUCAUCAAUCCUUUCCUUCCUGCACCUACGGGAUUCUUCUCGCGCCUCAACAAAGUUCACAUCUUCCUCGUUCGGUACCCUAAAAAAGCUAGCUUUUUUAGCUCAAAGCGGAGAGGAAAGGAAGGCCUUUCAUCGGUGAGUUAUUGUUUGACGGCUGAGGAUGAGGAGAGCUCGGCUGGUGAUGGCGAGUGCCGUCCUCCUUUCGAUCUCAACCUCGCCGUCCUUCUCGCAGGAUUCGCCUUCGAAGCCUACACCAGCCCUCCGAAAGAUAUGGGGUGGCGUGAAACAGAUCCAGCUCAGUGCCAAACGGUGAUUCUUUCAGAUUCAUUUCUUCGUGAGGUGUACGAUGGUCAGCUUUACAUCAAAUUACUAAAAGGUGUGGACCUUCCAGCAAUGGAUCCAUGGGGAACAAGUGACCCCUAUGUGAUAUUUCAAGUGAAUGGGCAGAUUGCCAAAAGUAAUGUCAAAUGGGGGUCAACGGAUCCAACAUGGAAUGAGGACUUUACCCUCAACAUCAAGUUAGCUACAGCAAAAAAAUUGCAGGUUAAUGCUUGGGAUGCUAAUCUGGUGACACCGCAUAAACGCAUGGGUAAUGGAUUGGUCAACCUUCAAUCUAUUUGUGAUGGCAAUUUACAUGAGGUUAUGGUUGAACUAGAGGGCAUUGGUGGUUGCGGCAAGAUCUAUUUGGAGAUCAAAUAUAAGAGCUUUGAUGAAAUUUAUGAAGAAAAACAGUGGUGGAGAAUACCCUUUGUCUCUGAUUUUCUUCUGAAGAGUAAUUUGGGUUCUGCUCUCAGAAUGGUUCUUGGAUCAGAAAACUUGAAUGUUAGUCAAUUUGUAGAGUCUGCGUUUGGACAAUUGAAGUCAUUUAAUUAUAAUUAUGUCAAGAGUCUUCACGCUUCUAAAAAUGGCAAAAAUGAUUCUCAUGAACCAGAAGAGUCUUUAAACGGCAUUCAUAGCUCAAAUGAAGCCCCAAAGAAAGAGAAUAUUAUACAGAGCUCAAUGGUAGGACACGAGAUUCAUAAUGUGAAUAAUUCAUCUGCCCCUCUUGUUGAUGAAGCAGAUGGAAAUAAUGAUCUGAUGGAGCAGAAAAAAAAUGACUCUAUACAGGCUGAAUAUUUUUGGAAAGCCUUUACUGACAUCAUCAAUCAAACCGUGUUCCUGAAGCUUGGUGUAUCGCUUCCUGAGAUUGAAAGUUGGGACAAAUUUGAUUUGCUGAACAACAUGAGUAUACAAUUGCGUAGAUCAGCAGAAGAAAAGUAUGUUGAGUUUGGACUUGCAACACCGAAAAGUAGGGAUAAGAACAAUAUUGAAACUAGCCAAACUUCUACAAAUGCUAUUGCAUCUUCAUCUACAGAUAUCAGAAUAGCAUCCCGAGAUUUACUUAGUCAGACCGACGCAAUUUUAGGAGCAUUGGUAGUGCUUGCAAAGACCUUUUCUAAACAGAAAGAUGAUUCAAUGUCACUGGAUAAUCAAAUAAAAAAUGGUGAUGACGAUAAGAAUGAAGGACCUUCAAAUAAAAAAGGGAGUGAUAGCUCCAACAAAGGAAUCACAUUAAGUACAAAAGGAGCGAAGGAGAUGCGGGAAUUAUUUUCUAGUGCUGAGAGUGCUAUGGAAGCUUGGGCUAUGCUCGCCACUUCCUUGGGUCGGUCAAGCUUCAUUAAAUCAGAAUUUGAGAAGAUAUGCUUUCUUGAUAAUGUUUCUACAGACACUCAAGUAGCUAUCUGGCGUGAUUCGGUUCGAAGAAGAUUGGUUGUUGCUUUCAGAGGCACUGAACAAGCAAAGUGGAAGGAUUUGCUAACUGAUUUAAUGUUCUUACCAGCUGGGUUGAAUCCUGAGAGAUUAGGUGGAGACUUCAAACAGGAAGUGCAGGUUCAUGGUGGAUUUUUGAAUGCUUACGAUUCUGUUCGAAACAGACUUUUGAUGCUUAUUAAGCUUGCAAUAGGUUACCAUGAAGAACAUCAUUUAGAGAGCAUGCCAAAGUGGAAUGUUUACGUUACAGGGCAUAGUUUAGGUGGUGCGCUUGCAACACUGCUUGCUUUAGAGAUUUCAACAAGUCCAAUGGCAAAGCAUGGUAUGAUUUCAGUUACAAUGUAUAAUUUUGGUUCUCCAAGAGUUGGUAAUAGAAGAUUUGCUGAUAUAUACAAUGAAAAGGUCAAAGAUAGCUGGAGAGUUGUGAACCAUAGGGAUAUUAUUCCUACGGUCCCACGCCUGAUGGGCUAUUGCCACGUAGCUCAACCUGUUUAUCUUGCAGCUGGAGAUUUAGAGAAGGCCAUGCUAAAUAGAGACUUCAGAGGAGAUGGAUAUGAGGGAGAUGUGAUUGGAGAGGCUACACCAGAAGUUCUUGUUAGUGAGUUUAUGAAAGGUGAAAAGCAGCUCAUUGAGAAGAUAUUGCAGACUGAGAUAAACCUUCUUCAAUCAAUCAGAGAUGGGACUGCUCUUAUGCAGCAUAUGGAAGACUUCUAUUACAUCUCGCUUCUUGAGAGUGUAAGAUCAAAUUACAUGCUUGCUGAAAAUACACAUUCCUAUGGAAAGAGCAUUCGAUCAACUGCAUGAAACAAAUUGUUGCAUUGAAUUUGUGAGGUAAGAUUCUCUACAUGCAACUAGGAGCUUGGAAGGCAAAUAACAGUCUACAAAUAAAUCAAAGGAGCAGGCACAACAUGAAGGACUCUUAAAUUGAUUCCAUGGCGAGUUUGCUAUUGCUCCAAUUGGAUUGGACACCUCCUCAAAGGUCAUUUGCUUAAUUAUGAUAUUUUGAUAUCUCUUAUUUUUAGUUUUUGAUAAUCCCCCUCAGAUUUUCAAGAUAAUAUAUUGCUUUUAUCAUCCUUCCAUAGCUUAUGUUUAAUGGAAAUGGAAACAACACAAGAUGGUUAAUAAAAACUGGAUUUGGUUGGAACGGAAUUGUCAUUCUUUAUAAGUUGUCUUUAAAGAUUCGAUAUCUUUCUCUAUUCUAAAAUUUUAGAUCAUAAAGCUUCUUUUUUGCUUAGCUUCGCCUAAACUUGAUGAAGAAUUUGAAGACUC